rnacentral:lncRNA from 1 species
UAAAUUACCAAGUUAUGUUAUCAAGAUUUCUCAGCUAUGUGACCAGCACAAUGAAAAAUACGUCAUUUACUGCAAGAAGCAUGAAUGCCCUUGUUGCAGCAACUGCAUUGUACAAAGUCACAAUAGAUGUGAUGAAAUCGUAAAACUAGAUGAUGUCAUUAAAAACGCCAAGACAUCAAAUGCAUUCUACGAAAUCGAGCAGACAUUAGCAGAAGUAGUAGAAAAUAUUGGAAAAAUCCGAAUAGACCGACAAAAGAACCAGCUGACCUUAUCUGAGACUCGGAAACAGAUUGAGAAAGAAAUCGCAGAGACCCGAAUAGCGAUCAAUAAUCAUAUCGACAAAAUACAAACAGAUAUAAUAAAGGAGCUAUGUGCAUCAGAAGACAAGGAGAGUAGAAAAAUCAGUCAACUGUUAAUUUCUCUAGAGGAAAAACAACAAGAGAUUUUGUCAUUGCAGGAUAGUAUUUCAGAUAUCAAACAGAAUGCUUCUGAUCUUCAGACUUUUUUGUCUAUGAAACGAAUCGAAAAGGAGGUUUCUGGUAAAGAUGAAUUCAUCAGGUCAAUAUCAGCUAAUGCGAAUUUGAAAAAGAUCGUUCUGUCAUUUCGUAUCAACACUGCAAUUAAAAAUCUCAUUUCCGACAUUCAAAAUUUCGGAAGGAUCACGGUUGAAAGUAAACCGUCAAAUAUUGAGCUUACCACGAGAAAUCAAAAACAAGCUCAAAUGAUGGUGGCAAAAUUACCAUCAAGAUCGUUUGGAAAUAUUAAUCUAAAGUUAAAGCAUUCAAUUAACACGGAACGAAACAAAGACAUUCUUGGUAUAAGUCUGUUACCUGAUGGAAGGAUUGUAAUUUCAAGCAGAAUAAGUUAUUUUGACAACGGUACUAUAUCCGUUCUGAACCCAAAUCGAUCCCUGGAUUUUGAAAUAGGAUUACCAUCACCAUCCUUUGAUGUAACAUACAUUACAGAAGACAAUACUUUGGUUGUAUCAUCUGGUUAUUCUUAUUCCAGGUGUAUUUACAUUAUUGACAUUCAAAACCAAAGAGUCAAGAAAACUAUUUCUUUAAAUGGGUAUAUAUAUGGGAUAACAUAUAAUAGAGCCGAUUUAAUUUAUUCUGGGCGAUAUCAAGGAAUUCGAAUGAUAAAUCCUAAUAACGAGACCGUCAGCGAUAUAGUUGUAGAUGAAAUGCAGUCCGAAAGCUACGUUACAACAUUUGGUGACAAGCUGUAUCAUACCAACCCGGAUAAAAACACCGUUACAUGUUAUAAUCUACAAGGUAAACUACAAUGGACAUUUCAAAAUGAAAGUGUUUUGCAGACACCAGGAGGCAUCAUCGUAGAUAGCAGUGGUGACAUAUACGUAGUAGGAUGUAAAUCAAACAAUGUGAUACUUAUCUCUGCUGAUGGAAAACAACACCAACAAUUGCUAUCUACCAAGGACGGUCUCUCCGAACCAAAGGCGAUUCAUUUUAGUAUGGAAAGAAAAAUGUUGAUUGUAGCCAAUAAAAGAGGAAAAGCAUUCUUAUAUUCAGUACACUGAACCAUUUUGCAUAUAUAAUAUUGUGACUGCAGAAAAAGCUAAAAUUUGAAAUGUUAUGAAUAAAUAUGUCUGGCUUAUGUCCGGCAUAAACUUUAAGUAUCAUAUAAACAUUACUAUCUGAGUUCCUUACUUUGAAUGCAUUGCGAAGGUACAAAGGUAAAACUGAUAAUAGUAGUAUAUUCUUAAUAUCAUUAAGAAUUUACUCUUCACAGUAUAUGCAAGUAUGCAUCGUUGUUAGGUUAUCCACGAAUUUAAAGCUACAUUUUACACCGCCCCGAUUAGGAUGUUAAUUUAGCUGGCGGUCCAAUAUUCUUUAUUAGAAAUGCAAAUGUUUUUUGCAGCUAUAUUAAUAAGUUAGAAUAGCAACUGAUAUUCAUAUCUAAAACAGUAACUGUAUACAAAAAGAAAUUUAACUACCCUAAAUUACAAUUUCUAAGCAGUAGCUUUAGUUUACCAAUAGAUUGAAAAAAAGUAUAGUGUUUUAAUUUUUGUGUUUAUCAAUCAGUUCUGGCAUUGAUUAGAGGUUCUACUGCUUUAAGACCCGAAAGUCAUAAAAAAGAUAUUGACCUGGUCUUCCCAACCGUUUUAUUUGCAUAAAAGUUUUACAAGAGCUAGGCGACAGAAAGAUAGAGAUCAACUCAGAUGAAAACUUGACUGUGACAUAUAAUUGCGAAUGAGACAAAAGACAAGAACAAUAUUUACAACUACAUAUCAUCGUAGGGACAUCAACAAUGUAUGAAAUUCAUAUCGUGUAGUAUUCUAUAAAAGGACUCAUGGUAAAAAAAGUAAAACAAUACAAAAUGUUAUGCAACGGCCUGGUAUAUGGUAAAACAUGCAAUUAAACAUACAUACUAAUGGACAGAAACGAACAAUUGACCUAUAGUCAUUUAAAUGAUAAGAAAUUUGAUAAAAAGAUGUUGAUUUUAUGAUACCAUAUACUAUGAACAAUUACAUUGUAUCAAACAAUGGCUGGCAUCAUUAACUUCAUUUCCACAUAACAGGUAAUAAAAUAACUUGACUCAAUAAAACAGAAAUAAGUUUUACUACGUAUCAGACAUUGGUGGAAGAUAUUUACUUAAUUUGAUGAUAUAAAGAUAAAGCAUUGACAUUCUUACACUCUCGCAUCGCCUGCUGUACUUCUGAUUUAUAUAUAUUUUUACUACUGGCCUCUCACCAUUGCAUUAACUAUGUAUGGUCAAAUAAUUUCGUUAUUUCUUCAAGAAAAAAGUACACUACCGCAUACUGAAAAUAUGUUCCGACUCACCUACAGUCACAUUUGUAUACAAUAAACCACUUUAAGUUUUUAUAUAAGCAAUUGCAUUAGAAAGUCUUCAUGUAAGUAUGGCAUUGUUACGUAACGAAUACUGUUGAUUUAUAUAUAUUCGUGUGUUCAAUUUUUGUUGAUUAAGGAAAAUUUGUAUAUCCAUGAAUAUAUUCGUGUUUUUCCAAAACUGCAUUUAAUAAUACAGCAAAUUUGGAACUUGUUAAACAUUUAAAUUCGUGGUUUCCUUUUGUAGCCACGAAUUCAACGAAAAGUAGUAUCCUACGAAUGAUAAUGAAUCAACAGUAUAGCAAAAUUAAUUGAUGGAUUGUUUAAACCCAUUUUUAGAUCUUUCAUGCAUAGUCAUGACGUAAAAAAAAUCAACAGAAAUACCUGGCUACCUACAUACAUCUUAAAGAGUUGUUUCAAGAAUUAAUAGUGCGCAGAGAUCAAGGCUCUCUCUCCUUCUACACGAAGCAUCGGAUUAUACCUUUUGUAUCAUCACCAGACGUGACAACGAAUUCAUACAUGCCAUACAGUUAAAUGAAAAUCUCCGAUUUAAUUGACCUAAGUCAGGAAUCUAAUGUUAAGUGGUUGUCGUCUGUUUAUGUGGUUCACAAUUGUUUCUCGUUUCUUGUUUCUAUAUAGAUAAGACCGUUGCUUUUCUCGUUUGAAUUGUUUUGCACUAGUAAUUGAUGGUGCCCGUUAUAGCUUACUGUUUGGUAUGAGUCAAGGCUUCAUGUUGAAGACCGUACGUUGACCUAUAAUGGUUUACUUUUAAAGAUAGUUAUUUGGAUGGUGAGUUGUCUCAUUGGCACUCAUGUCACAUUUCUCCAUAUUUAUGAUUUAAGAACAAUAGUUUAUUGUGUUUGAAACUUUUGAUUUUGACAUUUGAUAAGGGACUUUCUGAUUUGAAUUUUCCUUUAUGUUCAGUGUUUUUGUGAUUUUACUUUUCAGUAUAAUAAUAACAUAUAUGACGGUGUAAACAAUUAACUUUGUCAUUUUUAAAGCUAUAUAUUUUAUUAUUCAAAACAGCGCUCAAGGGAACAGAGUUGUUCCCCUUGUAACACUAAAUAUUUUAAUCAGAUCUCGAUCUUUGCCUGUCUGCUGCGAUGGUCUACUUUAUAUUACAAAAAUGUAAUUGUAACAACGAGAACAACAACGUGGCACAGCCGUUUUAUAUGACGUGGGUGCAACCGUUCUCUUAUAACAUGUUCCAUUGUCACUUAUUUGCUCCUGAUUUGAUAUUAAAUUUAAUUGGAAAGAAAUUCCUUAUCUUUUUGUAGGUUUGUGUUUACCAACUAUGAAGAUUGAACCUGUAUAAUAUUUGUCCUGUAUUAUGAUAAAUUAACAACCAUGUGAACAAUAAUAUUCAUCAUCUGUAUAAAAUACUAGAACAAGGUAAAGUAACGCACGAACUACAUUUUCUCUACUAAGUCAGGAAUAUGGCAGGUGUUUUUUAUUAUGUCACUCAAUUAUAAUUAGCAUUGAAGUAAAGUAUGUUGCUACACAUUUUUAGGCAUAUAUCUUUAUGGACGCCCCUUUAGAUAAUCGCUGAAAUACUCGUAAUUACCAGGUAACAUUAAUGAGUUGAACAUAAUUUGGAUAAUGAUCUGUAUAUAAUUAUUACAUCUUGUAAUUUUUUUUUUAUACUAUUUUUUUUACAAUAACAAAUAAAUGACAAAAAGUGAGUGCUUUGUUCAUUUUACUUUGUCUUUUUAUUUCAAAUUGUCAAUAUUCUUUUUAUCGGUAAGUUGUGUACAAAACGUUAACAACUACAAGAACGACAACGUUCCACAGUCGUUUUAUAUGAAAUGAGCGUAACUGUUCUCUUAUAACAUGUCUCAUUAUCACUCAUAAUCUCCUGAUUUUGUAGCUUUGUUUUGGCCAACUAUGAAGAUUAAACCUGUUGUUUCUGUUAUAUGAAUGAAGUCGAAUGCAUAAAUUUAUGUUAAAUGAAUUCGAGUGAACAUGAACAAACAUGAUCACUAUGAUGUUACGUCGUCGCUUAAUAUUCUCGAGUUUCUUGUUCGGUCUGCAAUCUGGAAAAUUAUUAAAAGGCAAUAGGGUCAACUUGAACCUGUAUAUGUACAAAUUGCCGACGAAGUCCCUUUUUACAAAAUUAGGCAACAUCCAAAAUUGCACGAUAUGACUGUUUCUUGAUUAUUUUCCUCGUAAACAUCAAAUUAUAGUUUUUGUUUUGUUUUGAUUUAGGGUGGAAGAGAGUGUUAGAGAAAGAACGAUAGGGAAUGGAGAGAUGACUUAAUUCUUUGUACAAAACUACAGAAUUAGUGAUUUAAGGUAAACAACUUACAGUACUCCGAAUCAUACUGAUGUUCAUUACAAAUAAAAGAAAUUUGAUGAUGGAAACCAGUUUUCAAUAAAAUCUAGUGUUAAUAAGUUAACACCACAGAUAUAGAAAUGAAUAACAGUCAUUUAAAAUAUCAAAUGUAUUUUACGUUAACUGCAACCUCGAAUACAGAAAACUUCAUACAAAAUAAAACAAUCUCACAUGAUGUUUGCUUCUAUUGAUAGAUUACAGGUGUGAAGACUAAGACAUUAUACAAUACAAGAAAUUAAACCAAACGAAGAGUCGGAUUACAAAACACCAAACAAAACCUUUCUACUCAUAGUGUGUCUAAUUUUGGCGUCCUUGAUCUCUAUUUUUGUUUUAAGAUUAUGGGAACAUUGUAGAUAUUCCUAAAAGUUGCUUAUUUUUCCGAUUUCUGUGAUACCUUGGUAUACACAAAUUAAUAACACUUAAUAUAAUUGUUAUAAAUAAUUGUUAUAAGACAUGCUUUAAUAUGAUAAUAGCGAUAACCAUGAUAUCAUGAUGAAUAAAUACAUAGUUCAUUUUAGAUAUUUGAGAGUAACCCCUCGUUGUCCUGACUUUAGAAUAAUGACACGUCUGAUAUUCUGUUAAAUCAUUUUAAUUGCUUAAAUUACAAUUAUUAAGAGUAAUUUAACAGUCAAUAAUAUAAAAGUUCGAUCUCUGUAUGAUGGAAGUUACUCUUCACUAAUAUAUGCGUGUUGUAACAUAAACUAUAUCACAACACGCAGUAACAUGAGUAACGCGCGGAAGUUAGAGUUAUCUUUGCUUGUUUUGUUGAUUAAAGAAUAAGAUUCACUCUUAUGUUUGUGAUACAGAUAAUGGCAAUUUGAUUACGACAUAUUUGUAUAACAAAAAUCUAUAUUUGUAUUUGACCUCAAAGGGACAUAUGAAUUCCAUCAACAUUACCUUCAAAUUGACCAACGAAAAUAAUUACAAGAAUUUUAGCAACUCCAUAGGAAUCAUGCAGGAAACUGUUAUUAAGUAGCAUCAUAUCGCGCGUAGUUUAGCAUUAGACUCUAUCUAAUUUUUAUUCAUUAGUAUAGCCUCCGAAAACUACCGAUGUUCAUUUGACCCAAAAUAAACAUACGACUCAAUUAUUUUACCUUUAAAAUGACAUGUAUUUUUGUCACACAAUUGACCAUGCUGAGAACAUGCCAAACCCAGCGCUGUAUCAUGUUAAGGUUAUCAACUUAAGGAAUAUAAAUGAGUUCGAGUUAUUGGUUUGAAAGACACUGUAAUAAAUCAGCUUUUUUAGGGUUAUUUUUUUAAAUCUUAUUUCAUCUUAAUUUCAUGAAAGCAGUUGUUCAAUUAAUCUCAUAUAUUGCAGUUUUUGGAUAAAAAAAAUGUACUUAAAUGUUUUGCCUCAAUCUUAUUUCUUAAAUGACAAUUAAAACACAUGUUUAAUAAAUCGUCACGUUGACUUAGUAAAAUAAAAUGAAAGUUAAGGUUAGUCAGCAUAUAUGGUUAUUUCGAAAUCUGUAUCAAACAUGUCUUUGUGAAUACUUGUAGGAUUUUACAGUCGACACCGUUGCUUUCAAUUUGAUCUAAUCUUGCAGAGAUAUCUAAUACAAUGCCUGAUAUAUGCCUUUGAUUUAAUUCAAUUUUAAAAUCAAGUAGAUGAGGGUUUUUUCAACAAUCUCACACAAAUGUUAGAAUAAUCCAAAGUAAGCAAAAUUAAACGUGCACGGCUUCCCUAUUUAUCUUCACACAAUUACUAUCAUUGUUUUCAUGUUUUAUAGAACAAUGCAACGAUCAUGACGUAACCAUAUUAUAAUAUGUUGGUUUAACUAUUGUCCUAAUAAUGUAUUAUUGUGUUUAUAAAGAGAUAGAUUCCUUCUGAUAAGAAAUCAUCAAUUAAGUUUGUUUGAUCUAUGCUAUUUAUAAAUUAUAUAUUAUGUAUAAUAAAACACAUUUGAAAUAUACCGCGCACUUUAACUUGUGUUGGUUUUAUCAUAUUAAUCGUUUAUCAUAUAAAGUCACGUGAUCAGCGGUUUAUUUACUUUCCAGAAUUCUAGUCGACCUUUUACCAAAAGCUAUGAAAUAUUCGUAAUUAUUAGGUAAACUAAUGAAUUUUACAUGAUUUGGAUAAACGUUUUGUUAUCAAUCAAGUGUUAAUCUAUAAAUAAGAUAUGAAUGGUAAGUAUAGGGGUAAAUUCAGUAAAAAAUCUCCCAUUGACUUUAAUGCUAAUCUAUGUAUAGAAUUAAAUUUAUACCUGAUUUACCUUUAGAAAUUGGAAACUUUCAUAUAACAUUCAUGAAAGUACAAAUGUAGCCCUAUCUUUUGCACUAAUAAAAACAUAGGGUCAUGCGGUAUUUUGGGCAUUCACAUGGCCUUGUUUACAAACAAUGUAGAUUCGCACUGAAUUCCUAUACUGACCCCCAUUACUUUUCAACCCUGUAGUAAAAAACAUUAGUACAUUCAGCAUUUAUUUUUUAUUUUUUUUCAACUCUAGUUUUGAUCCAUCUGCCAAAAAAUAUUUAUUACAAACAUUAUCUACCAAUCAGAAGAGCAUAUGACUUCAGUGUUAUACAGAAAGCUCUCCUCUAAAUGGGCGGUCCCUGAUGACGUAUAUUUAUUUACUGAAUUUACCCCUAUAAGGGACUUUUUUACUUCUUUUCCCACUUUUUUUGUAAUAAACAUGUAAGGUAUCCAAUUUUCAAGUUCCAGUUUCAAUACAACAUUCAUAAAUGCUGAAUUUGUAAAGAUGGAGUUUAAAGGGCGAUAGGGAAUGGAGAGAUGAACUAAUACUUUGUAAAAAAUUACAGCAUUAGCGAUUUAAGGUAAACAACUUACAGUACUCCGAAUCAUACUGAUGUUCAUUACAAAUAAAAGAAAUUUGAUGAUGGAAACCAGUUUUCAAUAAAAUCUAGUGUUAAUAAGUUAACACCACAGAUAUAGAAAUUAAUAACAGUCAUUUAAAAUAUCAAAUGUAUUUUACGUUAACUGCAACCUCGAAUACAGAAAACUUCAUACAAAAUAAAACAAUCUCACAUGAUGUUUGCUUCUAUUGAUAGAUUACAGGUGUGAAGACUAAGACAUUAUACAAUACAAGAAAUUAAAACCAUAGGAAAAGUCGGAUUACAAAACACCAAACAAAACCUUUCUACUCAUAGUGUGUCUAAUUUGGGCGUCCUUGAUCUCUAUUUUCUUUUUUAAAGAUUAUGGGAACAUUGUAGAUAUUCCUAAAAGUUGCUGUAUUUUUCCGAUUUCUGUGAUACCUUGGUAUACACAAAUUAAUAACACUUAAUAUAAUUGUUAUAAAUAAUUGUUAUAAGACAUGCUUUAAUAUGAUAAUAGCGAUAACCAUGAUAUCAUGAUGAAUAAAUACAUAGUUCAUUUUAGAUAUUUGAGAGUAACCCCUCGUUGUCCUGACUUUAGAAUAAUGACACGUCUGAUAUUCUGUUAAAUCAUUUUAAUUGCUUAAAUUACAAUUAUUAAGAGUAAUUUAACAGUCAAUAAUAUAAAAGUUCGAUCUCUGUAUGAUGGAAGUUACUCUUCACUAAUAUAUGCGUGUUGUAACAUAAACUAUAUCACAACACGCAGUAACAUGAGUAACGCGCGGAAGUUAGAGUUAUCUUUGCUUGUUUUGUUGAUUAAAGAAUAAGAUUCACUCUUAUGUUUGUGAUACAGAUAAUGGCAAUUUGAUUACGACAUAUUUGUAUAACAAAAAUCUAUAUUUGUAUUUGACCUCAAAGGGACAUAUGAAUUCCAUCAACAUUACCUUCAAAUUGACCAACGAAAAUAAUUACAAGAAUUUUAGCAACUCCAUAGGAAUCAUGCAGGAAACUGUUAUUAAGUAGCAUCAUAUCGCGCGUAGUUUAGCAUUAGACUCUAUCUAAUUUUUAUUCAUUGGUAUAGCCUCCGAAAACUACCGAUGUUCAUUUGACCCAAAAUAAACAUACGACUCAAUUAUUUUACCUUUAAAAUGACAUGUAUUUUUGUCACACAAUUGACCAUGCUGAGAACAUGCCAAACCCAGCGCUGUAUCAUGUUAAGGUUAUCAACUUAAGGAAUAUAAAUGAGUUCGAGUUAUUGGUUUGAAAGACACUGUAAUAAAUCAGCUUUUUUAGGGUUAUUUUUUUAAAUCUUAUUUCAUCUUAAUUUCAUGAAAGCAGUUGUUCAAUUAAUCUCAUAUAUUGCAGUUUUUGGAUAAAAAAAUGUACUUAAAUGUUUUGCCUCAAUCUUAUUUCUUAAAUGUAGAUUCGCACUGAAUUCCUAUACUGACCCCCAUUACUUUUCAACCCUGUAGUAAAAAAAAUUAGUACAUUCACCAUUUUUUUUUUUUUUUUUUUUCAACUCUAGUUUUGAUCCAUCUGCCAAAAAAUAUUUAUUACAAACAUUAUCUACCAAUCAGAAGAGCAUAUGACUUCAGUGUUAUACAGAAAGCUCUCCCCUAAAUGGGCGGUCCCUGAUGACGCAUAUUUAUUUACUGAAUUUACCUCUAUAAGGGACUUUUUUACUUCUGUUCCCACUUUUUUUGUAAUAAACAUAUAAGGUAUCCAAUUUUCAAGUUCCAGUUUCAAUACAACAUUCAUAAAUGCUGAAUUUGUAAAGAUAGAGAGCAAAAUUUAUACUACAGCCCAUACUGCGGCCAAUGUAUAUUUGGUAUAUAAAGUUGCACAUUGACUGUUUUUAAAAGAAUGGUGUAAAAUACUAUGUUUAAUAAAUAUGAAUUGUUUUCUGUGUUUGCUUUGACCAGUAUUGCAAGUACACCUAGAAACUAAAGACUUGGUGUACUCUUAGUCAAAUUUUUCCUUAGAUGGAAGUUUUUGAUUAAAUACCCUGAAAAGACCACAAAAAACCUUUUAAAAGGCUUUUUUAAGCAGUUUGAUACCAAAUAAAACAACAAUUAUGUUUCAUUAUACUAAAUCUGUGUUUUAAUUACUUGUAAAGUUUACAAAAUGUCAUUGACAAUCACUCUGCAGAAAUUCCUGUUACCCCAACAUCAGGAUGGAUUCUUCGCCAAAACUAGACAGCCAGAACUGAAGUAGAAAAAAGUGCCAAAUAUGAAUAAAUAAGACUAAGUAUAACCAAACUUUGCAUUUGGAAGAUUAAAGUAACAAUUUGGAAAAUUUAAAAGCAAUUAUUUAACAUAAAAGUCCAAUUACAAACAUUUCAACACUUGUUUCCUAGAUGAAGGACAUGUAAUCAUGAAAAGUUGUAUAGUAUAGUUUUUAAAUAAAGAAACGCAAUGUGUUAUUUAAAAAUAAAUGAAUAACUUCCUGCGGUCAGAUUAUUCGAAUGUUAAAAUACUAGAAAAGUGCUUAUUUACCACUUGUUCUACAACUUAACAUGGGGAACACAGCUAAAAAAAAAAAUCACUAUGUCAAAGGGAGGUAAUCCAUUUUUUCAUAUGAUUUUAUAUACAUUAUGAGGAGAAAUAUGUGCAAAAUGUGAUGUAAAUGGGGAGAAUAUUUAUGCCUUUCAUUGAUAUCAUAACUCUAAAGUGUAAUUUCUAUUGUUUCUUUCUAUCUGCACACAAAAACUGAUUAUUUACCAUAUACUUCAUGCUUCCUCUCGAAGUACAUUCAGUGCAUGCUGGAUAGCCGCAGCUAAGAUAGACAUUUGUGUAAAAAACAACUUCAAAUGGUUCCAAAAUCCUUCCAUUACAUUAAAAUUUACAGGAAAUGAGUUUGUUGAUUAUUCUGUGGCCUUGGACAAGUACAGUGAAAGAGUGCAUAUUUUCCUAUAGGGGUAAAUUCAGUAAAAAAUCUCCCAUUGACUUUAAUGCUAAUCUAUGUAUGGAAUUAAAUUUAUACCUGAUUUACCUUUAGAAAUUUGAAACUUUCAUAUAACAUUCAUGAAAGUACAAAUGUAGCCCUAUCUUUUGCACUAAUAAAAACAUAGGGUCAUGCGGCAUUUUUGGGCAUUCACAUGGCCUUGUUUACAAACAAUGUAGAUUCGCACUGAAUUCCUAUACUGACCCCCAUUACUUUUCAACCCUGUAGUAAAAAAAAAUUAGUACAUUCAGCAUUUGUUUAAAAAAAAAUUUCAACUCUAGUUUUGAUCCAUCUGCCAAAAAAUAUUUAUUACAAACAUUAUCUACCAAUCAGAAGAGCAUAUUACUUCAGUGUUAUACAGAAAGCUCUCCCCUAAAUGGGCGGUCCCUGAUGACGUAUAUUUAUUUACUGAAUUUACCCCUAUAACUAUACUCCUUUUCUACCACAGAAAACGAAAGUGACAAAGAGAGAUCGAACAACCCCAGAUUAUUCUACUGCGUAGAUCUCAGAGGCAUAUUAUUCGAUCCGGUGAUCAGUGUUGUAACCCUUUAUCUGUGGUGUUAGUGCCUCUUUUAUAGACUGUUGAACAAGAUUCUCUUUUGAACCCCGUUCGUGACAUGUUUGACACAGCUUAUUCGCUUUCUCGAUACAACCUACACCCUUCUCUCUUCAGUCCGUUGAAUCAACCAAAUAAAAUGUACAUGUUUUGUGCUUUUCUUAUCUCUCCUAGGAGAAUAUUUAAAGGCAUUAUUUGCCCCUAAAGGCCAAACAAUCAAUAACCAACAAAUCUGUUUUGACAAUAUGACAACCCCUGGACUACGCUCAUAGGAACUUGUCCCAUGCGGGGGGGGGGGGUUGAUAUAUUACACAAAAUCACCAAAAGACAAAAUGGUUUGUUCUGUGGUAAUUAGAAAAUAAAUAAUCUGAAUGGUUUUACACUAGUAAUUUUAGGGUCCUUUAUAGCUUGUUGUUCGGUGUGAGCCAAGGCUCCGUGUUGAAGGCCGUACAUUGACCUAUAAUUGUUUACUUUUAUAAAUUGUUAUUUGGAUGGAGAGUUGUCUCAUUGGCACUCACACUACAUCUUCAUAUAUCUAUUAAGAUAUAUUGAAAAUCAUAACUCGGCAGGUCUUUUAAGCCAUUUUAUUAAUGCUAUUCCAUGUUUUUUCAAAAAAAUCGAGAAACGCAUAAAAGAAUAAAUGUAAUUAAAAUAUAUUUGAUAUGUCUCGAAACGGGUUUCAUCUAACUUGACCUAUAUUGUCUCAGGAACACUUACCUCACUUUUAUUACAUGGCUCAGGGCUGUAACUACAUUGAGGCUAUUGCCUCAUGUAGAAAAGUUCAAAACCAAACCUUGUCGUCAUAUCAAAUUGUUAAAUUACGACGAGUGUCUUGCAAGAAGCAACGUCUGUUCUUGUACUUUUCGGGGUCCAUGUUUCUUAUUUAUUUUUAGUUUUCAGUGUUACACAAGCAAGACGACUUCUGUUUCUUUUUGAAGGAUAUUCCCUAGACAUAUAAUUACUUUGAUCAGUUUUAUUUGGACUCUGUUGGAUAGUUGUCAAAUUGGCAAUCAUACAACAUCUCUUUAUAUUAUUUUGACCACAAAUCUCCUUUUGACUAGCAACAUCAGUAUCAAAUUGCAGGCCAGACUUCACUUUUCAUCAGUCUUUAAAAUUUACCUGUUUUUGAAAACACCAAUAAACUAAGAAAUAUCUGUAACAUGAUUUUUAUGUUUCUAAAACCUUUAUCAGGUACAUUUGACACUAAGAUGUUUGAAAAGAAAAUGAUAAGAAAUAUUUGAUAGAAUAAAAACUGACAAUCAUUGGUCUCUGUAGUUUCAUUGGCAGUAAUACCACAACUCUUUUAUACAGAGGACAAAAUUAUCUUAAAUGGAUUUUGUGGAAUGUUGUACAUGUAUUUGACAAUUUUUGUUAAUAUGUUACUUAUGGUUUGACACUUUGACAAACACAUUUGUUGACUUAUACAUAUAAUAUGAAAAGGAAAACCACAAAAGUGUAUUAGAUGUUUCCUUUAGCAUCAAUUUAAAUACAACUUUGAAGUUGUGUCCCAUGUAGGUUUAAUGAUAACCAAUGUCUUGAAAAAUCUAAAAUUGUAUUAUUUUUUUAAAUAUGUUAAAUGAAAACUUCAAUAAAUCCGCUAUAGAGAUCUCAUUCAUAUUUUUUCUCUCUGUUGUCUAUUUGUUGCAGAAUAAUUUUAAAAAAAACUUCCAAAAAAUUGAUUUAACUCUACUUUUAUUUACAGCAUUCUCAAAACGUUACAAUCAACUUUUGGUGUUUUUGUUGUUGACAUAAUAACAAUAUCAAUUGAAUGUUCUAUCUUCUAAAUGUCACUCUUCUUGAAGUUGUCUUCAUCUGAAAAGAAAACAAUUACAUUCAUAAUUAUACAUUUAAACUUAAUUUUAUUUAUUCCCAUAUACUGUAAGUUGUUAGUUUUAAACAUAAUGAAAUAACCUCAGUGACUUUAAUCAUGCUUUUCUGUCUCAUUUGUCUGAGUGUAUGUCGUUUCUUUUAUUUGUUCUCGGGUUUUUGUUUUGUUCAUUGAUUGCCCUUCUGUAUUCUCUUAGUUUUGAAAUCCGUUUGUAAUUUAGUAAUUUUGUUUUAAAUUUGAUCAAGACAUCUAUUUUAUUUAAGACUUUUUAGCUAAUUUUUACAACUUCACUACUUUAAAUUGCAUCCCAUUUAGAAGCAACAUCAAGUUUGUAAUGCAUAAUAAAAACUUACUUGAUAUAGUUAUAUCAAUGAUAUGCAGCCCCUUUUCAACUUAAUUAAGAACAAAACACAUAAUUUAUAGGUAUAAAAGAUUAAAAUUUUGCAAGCCGAAACACCAAUAAACAAAAAACAGCAACCAAACUUAACUAUGUAAAUAACAUUUUUACUUUAUUCUUAAUAUUAAUCUUUUGAUGUUGUCCCUAAAAAUCGAAGUCUUACACUAAAUCUAUACAUAUUGAUUUUAAACCAAAAUACUUCCGUUUUAAGAAUAAGAAAUGGUAUGGGAAACGCCCAGAAAGCAUGAUGUUGCAUCAUUUCUUUUAUAGCUUCUUGUGGACUUCUGCAGCUCCAGAACCCUUUGGUAAUUUUUAAGCAUCGCUUGGCAAAUAGGAUGCUUAAGUCAUAUUUCUGAUUCAAUCCGAAAGAGUAGAAUUUACUCAUAUCUAUUGUUUUGAUGACAACUACAUAAAUAUCAAGAAUAUAAAAGUGAAAGCCUAUUAGCAUGUGCACCUCAGCAGAUGUCAAAUAACAGUUACACAAUGUAAUACCUUUAAGACGAUUCUUUUUUUUAAAUAUAACAUUCAGUUCGUAGAAAAGUUUAACCAAUGGCAGCAAUCUUUCAAACUAGCUUUCAUUACAAUAUACAUUUAUAGAUAAAUGAAUAAAUACUACAUUUAAUGUGGAAAAUGAUUAUACGAACAACUUUAGGAAUUGUAAGCAAUGAUUUCUUAUGAUAUAAUGAAAUGACUACUUUUUGCUUUUAUAAUAUUAUUUUGUUGUAGGGUGCGCAUUCUCUAUAGUGUUAUGGCGACUUCAUCUUUGAAUUGUGGUGUUUGUGAUCUCCGCAAUAUUUCCAAACUUUUAGCGAUCUGGUACUGAAUCUGAUGAAGGACUUUGCGAGGGUUGUCAGGAACAUCACAGCUGAUCUAAAGGAUCUAAAGGAUCUCGAAAUCAUACGGUUAUACCUUUGAUAACUAUUUACACCACUGGGUCGAUGCCACUGCUGGUGGACGUUUAGUCCCCGAGGGUAUCACCAGCCCAGUAGUCAACACUUCGGUGUUGACAUGAAUAUCAAUAUUGUGGUCAUUUUUAUAAAUUUCCUGUUACAAAAGUUUGAAUCUUUCGAAAAAACUAAGGAUUUUCUUAUCCCAGGCAUAUAUUACCUUAGCCGUAUUUGGCACAACUUUUUGGAAUUUUGGAUCCUCAAUGCUCUUCAACCUUGUACUCGUUUGGCUUUAUAAAUAUUUUGAUAUGAGCGUCACUGAUGAGUCUUAUGUAGACGAAACGCGCGUCUGGCGUACUAAAUUAUAAUCCUGGUACCUUUGAUAACUAUUUAUACCAAUUUCCGAAUAUCGUAAAUUACCAAGUGAUGUUAUCAAUAUUUCUCAGUUCUGUGACAAGCACAAUGAAAAGUACAUCAUUUACUGCAAGAAGCAUGAAUGCCCUUUUUGUAGCAGCUGCAUUGUACAAAGUCACAAUAGAUGCGAUGAAAUUGUAAAACUAGAUGAUGUCAUUAAAAAUUCCAAGACAUCAUAUGCAUUCUACGAAAUCCAGCAGACAUUGGUAGAAGUAGUCGAAAAUAUUGGAAAAAUCCGACAAGACCGACAAAAGAACCAGCUGACCUUAUCUGAGACUCGGAAACAGAUUGAAAAAGAAAUAGCAGAGACCCGAAUAGCGAUCAAUAAUCAUAUCGACAAAAUACAAGCAGAUAUAAUAAAGGAGCUAUGUGCAUCGGAAGAUAAGGAGAGUAGAAAAAUUCGUCAACUGUUAAUUUCUCUAGAGGAAAAACAACAAGAAAUGUUGUCAUUACAGGAUAGUAUUUCAGAUAUCAAACAGAAUACUUCUGAUCUUCAGACUUUUUUGUCUAUGAAACGAAUUGAAAAGGAGGUCUCUGACAAAAAUGAAUAUAUCAGGUCAAUAUCCGGUAGCGAGAAUUUGAAAAAGAUUGUUCUGUCAUUUCGUAUCAACACUGCAAUUAAAAAUCUCAUUUCUAACAUUCGAAAUUUUGGAAGGAUUACGGUUGAAAGUAUACCGUCAAAUAUUGAGCUUACCACGAGCAAGGAUAAAAAAGCUCAAAUUAUGGUGGCUAGAGUACAAUCAAGAUCUUUUGAGCAUAUCAAUUUUAAGUUACAACAGAC